GAAAGACGGCUCUUAGUUUACUUGUAAAAACUAUUAUCAUGCAACAUCUUUUCUCUUUGCUUUGAGAAUCCUCUCCCUGCCAUUCUCCUAAAGGGCUCAUUGUUUUGGGAGAACGGCAGGGUUUAAACGACGUGUUUUGGCAUAGAUUGUGAUUAAGACUUUAU